rnacentral:rRNA from 1 species
GGCUCAGAUUGAACGCUGGCGGCAGGCCUAACACAUGCAAGUCGAGCGGAUGAAGGGAGCUUGCUCCUGGAUUCAGCGGCGGACGGGUGAGUAAUGCCUAGGAAUCUGCCUGGUAGUGGGGGAUAACCCGGAAACGGGCGCUAAUACCGCAUACGUCCUGAGGGAGAAAGUGGGGGAUCUUCGGACCUCACGCUAUCAGAUGAGCCUAGGUCGGAUUAGCUAGUUGGUGGGGUAAAGGCCUACCAAGGCGACGUCGUAACUGGUCUGAGAGGAUGAUCAGUCACACUGGAACUGAGACACGGUCCAGACUCCUACGGGAGGCAGCAGUGGGGAAUAUUGGACAAUGGGCGAAAGCCUGAUCCAGCCAUGCCGCGUGUGUAAAAGGUCUUCGGAUUGUAAAGCACUUUAAGUUGGGAGGAAGGGCAGUAAGUUAAUACCUUGCUGUUUUGACGUUACCAACAGAAUAAGCACCGGCUAACUUCGUGCCAGCAGCCGCGGUAAUACGAGGUGCAAGCGUUAAUCGGAAUUACUGGGCGUAAAGCGCGCGUAGGUGGUUCAGCAAGUUGGAUGUGAAAUCCCCGGGCUCAACCUGGGAACUGCAUCCAAAACUACUGAGCUAGAGUACGGUAGAGGUGUGGAAUUUCCUGUGUAGCGGUGAAAUGCGUAGAUAUAGGAAGGAACACCAGUGGCGAAGGCGACCACCUGGACUGAUACUGACACUGAGGUGCGAAAGCGUGGGGAGCAAACAGGAUUAGAUCCCUGUAGUCCACGCCGUAAACGAUGUCGACUAGCCGUUGAGAUCUUAGUGGCGCAGCUAACGCGAUAAGUCGACCGCCUGGGGAGUACGGCCGCAAGGUUAAAACUCAAAUGAAUUGACGGGGGCCGCACAGCGGUGGAGCAUGUGGUUUAAUUCGAAGCAACGCGAAGAACCUUACCUGGCCUUGACAUGCUGAGAACUUUCCAGAGAUGGAUUGGUGCCUUCGGGAACUCAGACACAGGUGCUGCAUGGUGUCGUCGCUCGUGUCGUGAGAUGUUGGGUUAAGUCCCGUAACGAGCGCAACCCUUGUCCUUAGUUACCAGCACCUCGGGUGGGCACUCUAAGGAGACUGCCGGUGACAAACCGGAGGAAGGUGGGAUGACGUCAGUCAUCAUGGCCCUUACGGCCAGGGCUACACACGUGCUACAAUGGUCGGUACAAAGGGUUGCCAAGCCGCGAGGUGGAGCUAAUCCCAUAAAACCGAUCGUAGUCCGGAUCGCAGUCGCAACUCGAUGCGUGAAGUCGGAAUCGCUAGUAAUCGUGAAUCAGAAUGUCACGGUGAAUACGUUCCCGGGCCUUGUACACACCGCCCGUCACACCAUGGGAGUGGGUUGCUCCAGAAGUAGCUAGCUAACCGCAAGGGGACGGUUACCACGGAGUGAUUCAUGACUGGGGUGAAGUCGUAACAAGGUUAA